GGCGGGCGUCCCUUGCUGGGGCUCCGCGCCCGGCUCGACAGAGCGGGCGUGGGGCGGGCGCCGAGGGCACUGGGGGCCGAGGCCGAGUCCCCGCCCGCUGUCCCCUCGCCCUCCUUCCGAGAAGUUUGCCGUUCGACCUUGCAGAUGGAAACGACGGCGUUCAGACGAGGGCGUCGCCCGCCCAGGCUCCCGGGAGCGAGGGCAUCGGGGCUGCCCGGAAUCGGAUUCCUCGGCGGAUUACGCGGCCCAGUCGGCACGCGAGGCGGGCCCCGGGCGACCAGGAAGCCCCCGGCGCGCACGAAAGCAGCGAGGGCGGAGGUUGGGGGGGCUGGGGGCGGGGCGGCCGCGUUGCGUGACCUGCAAGCCGGCGGCCGCACGCACUUCGUGCUCCGGGCGGCCCUCGCCCCGCGGGCGGCGCAGGUGCCGCUGGAGGCCGGCGCCCGGCUGCCACUUUACAGCCCCGGCGGGGAGGGCAGUCACGCUAUAUUUCAGGGACUGGGACGGAGUUCGCGGAAUCUCCUUGUUAUCGGAACGUGGGUAGCGUUGGGUAAUAACCGCUCGGACAGGAUGUAGGAAGCGCAGUGGGAACAGAGCUGUCCCGUCUGUUUUGAUCAGUGAUGGACCACUGUUGAUCUAGGCAUGCUGGUAUGUCUGCAAUCCCAGCGACUUCAGAGGCCUACACAGGGAAGAUCGAAGGUUUGAAGCCAGCCUGAGCAAUUGAGCAAGAACCAGUCUCAAAUUAAAAUCAAAAGGGGUGGGGAUGUAGCUCAGUGUUCCCUGGGUUCAAUCCCCAGUACCAUAAUAAAUAACAUAAACAAAAUAAAGGAGUUGAUAUAUUUUCGUCACUAUUGAUGUCAUAAGCCAUGUAAUAUUUUAGUGGGUUUUUCAUGUGUAUUUGGUGAUGCUGGUGUAAACAAACCUGCUUCUGGUCCUAUAAAAGUGUAGUACAUGCAAUUAUGAUCAGUACAUAGUACCGGUUACUUGAUACCGGUAAUAAGUGAGUUAGUGGUUUAUGUGUUUACUAUCUUUUUUUUUUUCAAGUCUGAGGAUUGAACCAAGACAUUCUACUACUAAGCUACAUCCCCAUCCCUUUCUAUUUUUUCAAACUCUUGCUAAGUUGCCCAGGGUGGCUCUAAACUUGCUAUCCUCCUGCUGCAAUCUCCUGAGUAGCUGAGAUUUUUUUCUCUUUUUUUUUUUUUUUUUUGUCCUUUAGAGUAUACUCAUUGUACUUAUAAAAAUUUAUUAGAAACAGAGUGCUGUGUUACUCAGGGAGCAGCCUCAUACACUUUGAGUUUGCAGAGUCUCUUGGAUGC
rnacentral:lncRNA from 1 species